UCACCUGCCGAAGCAACUAGCCCUGAAAAUGGAUGGCGCUCUAGCGUCGUGCCUAUACCGGGCCGUCAACGGCAAAGUGGGUUGGUGCCCGGCCGGUUAACGCCGGCCGGCUCGGCCGUUAAGCCUUGACGAGUAGGAGGCGCGCGACGGUGUGCGCAGAAGGGUCUGGGCGUGAGCCUGCCUGGAGCCGCCGUCGGUGCAGAUCUUGGUGGUAGUAGCAAAUACUCUAGCGAGGGCCUGGAGGGCUGAUGUGGAGAAGGGUUUCUUGUGAACAGCCGUUGCACAAGAGUCAGUCGACCCUAAGCCCUAGGAGAAAUCCGAUGUUGAUGGGUAGCGAUUUCAUGUUGACACAGAAAUGCUUCCGUCGGGCGAAAGGGAAUCCGGUUCCUAUUCCGGAACCCGGCUGCGGAACCGUAACUUCGCGGGCACUCGCUCGCGAGCGCUCGUCGGGGUAACCCAAAAUGACCCGGAGACGCCGACGGGAGGUCUGGAAAGAGUUGUCUUUUCUUUAUAAGCGUUCGAGUUCCCUGGAAUCCUAUAGCAGGGAGAUAGGGUUUGGAAUGCGAAGAGCACCGCAGUUGCGGCGGUGUCCGGACCUUCCCCUCGGACCUUGAAAAUCCGGGUGAGGGCUACGCGGAAUGUCGCGCCGGCUCGUACCCAUAUCCGCAGCAGGUCUCCAA
rnacentral:rRNA from 1 species